AGAAUAUAGAAAAUGACCUUGUUACUAACACUAAUUCCUGUUGCAGAUGAAGAGGAACUGCAUUUCGAGGUUCCAACAAUAAGUUUGGAAGCUCACCGGGAUCCGAUAACACACAUAGCCGACCAAGCGUUGUGAAGACCGAGGUAUCUCAACAUCGAUCAUUACUACUACAAGCGCCGCUCACCCUCUCCAAGCUCAUUAUAUGGGUUCCGAUCCCAUUAGGAGUCUAUCUGUUACCCGCCAUUUGUUUUCCAGUUUCGUUUUUCUUUUCUUUAUUGUUCUUUUUUCUCUUCAUACUGAUCGUAAUUUGCUCAGAUUUUUUUUUUCAAUACAAUAAUCAUUUUUUUUCUGUUGUUUUUGAAUCAAAGUUGUACUUUUGGUUUUGGUGAAUUGCUAAUUCCAGAUUUUAAAUGCGUUCCCGUUAUUCAUUUUUUAACAGUUUUUUCUCCCUGCUUAAAGCAGUCAUUGUUUGUGAUUUUGUCCGAUUUUAUUAAAAUUCAUAUAAUGUCAUUCAGCCGCUAAAGACUGAAACACACACACACACACACACACACACACACACACACACACACACACACACACACACACACACACACACACACACACACACACACACA
rnacentral:lncRNA from 1 species